rnacentral:rRNA from 1 species
GAUGAACGCUGGCGGCGUGCUUAACACAUGCAAGUCGAACGGAAAGGCCCAAGCUUGCUUGGGUACUCGAGUGGCGAACGGGUGAGUAACACGUGGGUGAUCUGCCCUGCACUUCGGGAUAAGCAUGGGAAACUGGGUCUAAUACCGGAUAGGACCCCUUCUUGGAUGUUGUGGUGGAAAGUUUUUUCGGUGUGGGAUGAGCUCGCGGCCUAUCAGCUUAUUGGUGGGGUAAUGGCCUACCAAGGCGUCGACGGGUAGCCGGCCUGAGAGAGUGUACGGCCACAUUGGGACUGAGAUACGGCCCAGACUCCGACGGGAGGCAGCAGGGGGGAAUAUUGCACAAUGGGCGCAAGCCUGAUGCAGCGACGCCGCGUGGGGGAUGACGGCCUUCGGGUUGUAAACUCCUUUCGCUAGGGACGAAGCGUUUUGUGACGGUACCUGGAGAAGAAGCACCGGCUAACUACGUG